GUACCUAAAGGUCGAUAACCGUAAGGAGUCGCCCAAGGUAAAACUAGUAACUGGGGCU
rnacentral:rRNA from 1 species